rnacentral:rRNA from 1 species
AGAGUUUGAUCAUGGCUCAGGAUGAACGCCGGCGGUGUGCCUAAUACAUGCAAGUCGAACGCGUUGGCCCAACUGAUUGAACGUGCUUGCACGGACUUGACGUUGGUUUACCAGCGAGUGGCGGACGGGUGAGUAACACGUAGGUAACCUGCCCCAAAGCGGGGGAUAACAUUUGGAAACAGAUGCUAAUACCGCAUAACAAUUUGAAUCGCAUGAUUCAAAUUUAAAAGAUGGCUUCGGCUAUCACUUUGGGAUGGACCUGCGGCGCAUUAGCUUGUUGGUAGGGUAACGGCCUACCAAGGCUGUGAUGCGUAGCCGAGUUGAGAGACUGAUCGGCCACAAUGGAACUGAGACACGGUCCAUACUCCUACGGGAGGCAGCAGUAGGGAAUCUUCCACAAUGGGCGCAAGCCUUGAUGGAGCAACACCGCGUGAGUGAAGAAGGGUUUCGGCUCGUAAAGCUCUGUUGUUAGAGAAGAACGUGCGUGAGAGCAACUGUUCACGCAGUGACGGUAUCUAACCAGAAAGUCACGGCUAACUACGUGCCAGCAGCCGCGGUAAUACGUAGGUGGCAAGCGUUAUCCGGAUUUAUUGGGCGUAAAGCGAGCGCAGGCGGUUUGAUAAGUCUGAUGUGAAAGCCUUUGGCUUAACCAAAGAAGUGCAUCGGAAACUGUCAGACUUGAGUGCAGAAGAGGACAGUGGAACUCCAUGUGUAGCGGUGGAAUGCGUAGAUAUAUGGAAGAACACCAGUGGCGAAGGCGGCUGUCUGGUCUGCAACUGACGCUGAGGCUCGAAAGCAUGGGUAGCGAACAGGAUUAGAUACCCUGGUAGUCCAUGCCGUAAACGAUGAGUGCUAGGUGUUGGAGGGUUUCCGCCCUUCAGUGCCGCAGCU